UCCCAGAUCGUAUAGUGGUCAGUAUUUCUGCUUGUCAUUCACAGGCAGUUCGCAGGAGACCUGGGUUCAAUUCCCAGUCUGGGAG